rnacentral:lncRNA from 1 species
UUUGAAUUUCAAUUCAAGAAUGAGCUUUAGGUAGAUGAGGGACAGCCCCAUUAUCAAGGGGCCAUUCUCUUGCCAAUGCAGCAUCUUUUUGCACUUUUGGAUUUCAUAUUUAUGCUAAAUGAUGUUUGGUACCCCUAGAAACUUCUAGAUAACUUUUGUUCUAUUUACAUUACUGUAUUUGCUACUGAACAUUUUCAAAUGCUAAAAAUCUAAAGCAACUCAAAUCAAAAUGAUAUCUCAUCCUAAGACAAUUUUGUUUCAAGAGUUCUUUUUUGUUUGUUUGUUUUAUGAUCCAGAAGAUGCCCAGUACAGAAUAUUUGAGAGAGAAGGAGAAACAUACAUUGGAGAGCAAGGAGAAAUCACUCUCUAAUAUUAAAAACUAAAGUAUCCAAUGUUAAAAAGAAAUCUCAAAGGUUUUAGAUAUAUGGUAUAAAGACCUUCUGCACCCAAUUAAACAAACAAACAAACAAAAAGACAUGAUAUAUAGAGUGUCCAAUUACAUAAUUGUUUAUUUUAAAAAUAAACCAUUUAUUUUCACCAUUG